rnacentral:rRNA from 1 species
GGUCAAGCUAUAAAGAGCGUAGGGAGAAUGACUUGGCAUCAGGAGCCGAAGAAGGACGUGACAAGCUGCGAAAAGCUGCGGUUAGGAGCAAAUAUCCAUAGACCCGCAGAUAUCCGAAUGGGGAAACCCGGUACGGCAAUACCGUAUCACUGCAUGGUAAAUACAUAGCCAUGUGGAGGAAACCCUCUGAACUGAAACAUCUAAGUAGGAGGAGGAAGAGAAAGAAACAUCGAUUUCCUAAGUAGCGGCGAGCGAAAGGGAAAGAGGCCAAACCAGAGAUAGCAAUAUCUUUGGGGUUGCGGACUGCAAAAUUGAUUCAAUAUUUUUAGCAGAAGUGUAUGGGAAGACACACCAUAGUAGGUAAUAGUCCUGUAAGCGAAAAGGAUAUUGACAAGGCAGGAUCCAGAGUACCACCGGACACGAGGAACCCGGUGGGAAGCCGGGGGGACCACCCCCCAAGCCUAAAUACUACCUGAUGACCGAUAGUGAAAAGUACAGUGAUGGAAAGUUGAAAAGAACCCCGGAAGGGGAGUGAAAAAGAAUCUGAAACCCUAUGUUUACAAGCUGCUAAAGCACCAUAUGAGUGCGAUAGCGUACUUUUUGUAGAACGGUCCGGCGAGUGUAUGUUGCAAGCGAGGUUAAGGUGUUAAGCACUGAAGCCGAAGGGAGACCGAGUGUGAAUAGCGCGUACAGUUUGCAGUAUACGACCCGAAACCGGGUGACCUAACCAUGGACAGGUUGAAGUGGAAGUAAAAUUCCAUGGAGGACCGAACCCACGUCUGUUGAAAAAGGCGGGGAUGAGCUGUGGUUAGCGGUGAAAUUCCAAUCGAACUCGGAUAUAGCUGGUUCUCAUCGAAAUAGCUUUAGGGCUAGCCUCAGGAUAGUUUAGCGGAGGUAAAGCACUGAAUGGGCUAGGGGGCUUCACGGCUUACCGAACCCUAUCAAACUCUGAAUGCCGCAUAAAUGUUUCCUGGGAGUCAGACUGCGUGAGAUAAGUUUCGUAGUCAAAAGGGAAAGAGCCCAGACCUACAGCUAAGGUCCCUAAAUGAAUUUAAGUGGAAAAGGAUGUGCAGUUGCGUAGACAACUAGGACGUUGGCUUAGAAGCAGCCACUCAUUUAAAGAGUGCGUAAUAGCUCACUAGUCGAGUGAUUGUGCGCCGAAAAUGUAACGGGGCUAAAAUUCAUACCGAAGCUUAGGAAUGAUAGUAAUAUUGUUGGUAGAUGAGCGUUGUGUAAGUCUGCGAAGCUACACCGAAAGGAGUAGUGGAGAUAUCACAAGUGAGAAUGCCGGAAUGAGUAGCGAGAAUUAUGUGAGAAUCAUAAUGGUCGAAAAUCUAAGGUUUCUUGAGGAAGGUUCGUCCGCUCAAGGUAAGCCGGGAGCUAAGGCGAGGCCGAGAGGCGUAGUCGAUGCACAUACGGUAAAGAUUCCGUAGCCACCGAAGUCGUUAAAUACAGGGACACAGGAACAUAGCCCAUCCCCACCGUUGGUUGAGUGGGGCGUAAGGGAGUGAAAAUUAGUAGCGAAGUGGGUGAUUGUACACUGGCGAGAAAAGCUGUAUGGAUUGACAAGGUGCCCGUACCGCAAACCGACACAGGUAGAUGAGGAGAGAAUCCUAAGACCAGCGGGAGAAGUGUUGUUAAGGAACUCGGAAAAAUGACCCCGUAACUUCGGGAUAAGGGGAGCCUGCGCGAGCAGGCCGCAGAGAAUAGGCCCAAGCGACUGUUUACCAAAAACACAGGUCUAUGCUAAAUCGAAAGAUGACGUAUAUGGGCUGACGCCUGCCCGGUGCCGGAAGGUUAAGAGGAGAUGUCAGCGCAAGCGAAGCAUUGAAUUGAAGCCCCGGUAAACGGCGGCCGUAACUAUAACGGUCCUAAGGUAGCGAAAUUCCUUGUCAGGUAAGUUCUGACCCGCACGAAAGGCGUAAUGAUUUGGGCACUGUCUCAACAGCCCGCCCGGCGAAAUUGUAGUACUGGUGAAGAUACCAGUUACCCGCAACUAGACGGAAAGACCCCAUGGAGCUUUACUGCAGCUUAAUACUGGAAUUCGGUAACCCAUGUACAGGAUAGGUGGGAG